rnacentral:rRNA from 1 species
UCUGUUUGAUCAUGGCUCAGAUUGAACGCUGGCGGCAGGCCUAACACAUGCAAGUCGAGCGGUAGAGAGAAGCUUGCUUCUCUUGAGAGCGGCGGACGGGUGAGUAAUGCCUAGGAAUCUGCCUGGUAGUGGGGGAUAACGUUCGGAAACGGACGCUAAUACCGCAUACGUCCUACGGGAGAAAGCAGGGGACCUUCGGGCCUUGCGCUAUCAGAUGAGCCUAGGUCGGAUUAGCUAGUUGGUGAGGUAAUGGCUCACCAAGGCGACGAUCCGUAACUGGUCUGAGAGGAUGAUCAGUCACACUGGAACUGAGACACGGUCCAGACUCCUACGGGAGGCAGCAGUGGGGAAUAUUGGACAAUGGGCGAAAGCCUGAUCCAGCCAUGCCGCGUGUGUGAAGAAGGUCUUCGGAUUGUAAAGCACUUUAAGUUGGGAGGAAGGGCAGUAAAUUAAUACGUUGCUGUUUUGACGUUACCGACAGAAUAAGCACCGGCUAACUCUGUGCCAGCAGCCGCGGUAAUACAGAGGGUGCAAGCGUUAAUCGGAAUUACUGGGCGUAAAGCGCGCGUAGGUGGUUUGUUAAGUUGGAUGUGAAAUCCCCGGGCUCAACCUGGGAACUGCAUUCAAAACUGACGAGCUAGAGUAUGGUAGAGGGUGGUGGAAUUUCCUGUGUAGCGGUGAAAUGCGUAGAUAUAGGAAGGAACACCAGUGGCGAAGGCGACCACCUGGACUGAUACUGACACUGAGGUGCGAAAGCGUGGGGAGCAAACAGGAUUAGAUACCCUGGUAGUCCACGCCGUAAACGAUGUCAACUAGCCGUUGGGAGCCUUGAGCUCUUAGUGGCGCAGCUAACGCAUUAAGUUGACCGCCUGGGGAGUACGGCCGCAAGGUUAAAACUCAAAUGAAUUGACGGGGGCCCGCACAAGCGGUGGAGCAUGUGGUUUAAUUCGA